rnacentral:rRNA from 1 species
CCCUUAGAUGUUCUGGGCCGCACGCGUGCUACACUGAUGAAUUCAACGAGCUCCUAACCUAGGCCGAAGGGUCCGGGUAAUCUUUGAAAUUUCAUCGUGAUGGGGAUAGAUUAUUGCAAUUAUUAAUCUUCAACGAGGAAUUCCUAGUAAGCGCGAGUCAUCAGCUCGCGUUGAUUACGUCCCUGCCCUUUGUACACACCGCCCGUCGCUCCUACCGAUUGAAUGGUCCGGUGAAAUGUUCGGACCGCGACAAGGCGGACGGUUCGCUGUCAGCUUUGCUGCGGGAAGUUCAUUAAACCUUAUCAUUUAGAGGAAGGAGAAGUCGUAACA